UAGUCCACGCCGUAAACGAUGUCAACUAGCCGUUGGGAGCAUUUAAGCUCUGAGUGGCGCAGCUAACGCAUUAAGUUGUCCGCCUGGGGAGUACGGCCGCAAGGCUAAAACUCAAAUGAAUUGACGGGGGCCCGCACAAGCGGUGGAGCAUGUGGUUUAAUUCGAUGUAACGCGAAAAACCUUACCAACCCUUGACAUCUAGUGAAAUUUCUAGAGAUAGAUUUGUGCCUUCGGGAACACUAAGACAGGUGUUGCAUGGCUGUCGUCAGCUCGUGUCGUGAGAUGUAUGGUUAAGUCCAGUAACGAGCGCAACCCUUAUCCUUAUUUGCCAGCACUUCGGGUGGGAACUCUAAGGAGAUUGCCGUGAAUAACACGGGAGGAAGGUGGGGACGACGUCAAGUCAUCAUGGGCCCUUACGGGGUUGGGGCUACACACGUGCUACAAUGGGGANAUACAGAUGGGUUGCGAAAGCGCGAGCUGGGAGCC
rnacentral:rRNA from 1 species